UACCAGCACCCCGAGUGGUCGGGACGAUUAUUGGGCCUAAAGCAUCCGUAGCCGGUUUUACAAGUCCUCCGUUAAAUCCAGCUGCUUAACAGAUGGGCUGCGGAGGAUACUAUAAGACUAGGAGGCAGGAGAGGCAAGCGGUACUCAGUGGGUAGGGGUAAAAUCCGUUGAUCCAUUGAAGACCACCAGUGGCGAAGGCGGCUUGCCAGAAUGCGCUCGACGGUGAGGGAUGAAAGCUGGGGGAGCAAACGG
rnacentral:rRNA from 1 species